AAAAUGCAAUGGUUUAUACAAAAUUAUUAAAAUAUGUAAAGAUGUUUUUUCACUAUAAAAAUUACAUAAACUUUGAAGAGGUUUUCAAAUAGUCUAAAAAUGUAACUUUUCAUUCUAAACUUGUAAAAUUUUUAAUGAUUUUUUUUUAGUUCUUUUUCAUAUCUAUUUUUUAUAUGUUUUCAAAAAUCUUUCAAAGUAUCUAAAAAUUCUGAGGUAAUUCGUUUUGUUGAGUAAC
rnacentral:lncRNA from 1 species